rnacentral:pre_miRNA from 1 species
GCUACGUUGCGGCUCAUCAUCGGGCAACUUUGCUUUCUUUGCAACGCAAGCUGCCUUUUGAAGGGCAAUACCGUAAC